AAUAGAAACACCUGUUUCUGUACGAUCACCGAAUUUAAGCAACGUCAAGCCUGGCCAGUACCUAGAUGGGUGACCACAUGGGUGUACCAGGUGUUGAA